rnacentral:misc_RNA from 1 species
AAGUCGUAACAAGGUUUCCGUAGGUGAACCUGCGGAAGGAUCAUUACCGAGAGAGGGGCUUCGCGCUCCCGGGGGCUUCGGCCUCCACCUCUUCACCCAUUGCGUACCUACCUUUGUUGCUUUGGCGGGCCAUGGGGUUCGCCCCACGCCGGCCUAUGCGCUGGUGAGCGCCCGUCAGAGGUCCUCAAAAUUCUGUUUAUAGUGACGUCCGAGUUAAACACAAAUAGUUAAAA